CCUACGGGUGGCAGCAGUGAGGAAUAUUGGUCAAUGGGCGCGAGCCUGAACCAGCCAAGUAGCGUGAAGGAUGACUGCCCUACGGGUUGUAAACUUCUUUUAUAAAGGAAUAAAGUGAGGCAUGUGUGCCUUUUUGUAUGUACUUUACGAAUAAGGAUCGGCUAACUCCGUGCCAGCAGCCGCGGUAAUACGGAGGAUUCGAGCGUUAUCCGGAUUUAUUGGGUUUAAAGGGAGCGUAGAUGGGUUGAUAAGUCAGUUGUGAAAGUUUGCGGCUCAACCGUAAAAUUGCAAUUGAUACUGGCAGCCUUGAGUACAGUAGAGGUAGGCGGAAUUCGUGGUGUAGCGGUGAAAUGCAUAGAUAUCACGAAGAACUCCGAUUGCGAAGGCAGCUUACUAAACUGCCACUGACAUUGAUGCUCGAAAGUGUGGGUAUCAAACAGGAUUAGAUACCCGAGUAGUC
rnacentral:rRNA from 1 species